GAUAUUUUAACACUUCAUUUUCUAUGCAACAAAUUAAUAACAAACUAAACAUGCGAUAAACAUUGACAUAACAAUUUUAUAAUUACGCUUUAUUAUCUGUAUAUUUUUCUAAACUUUGCAAUAAAUUUCUUGAACUCACAUGUCAUAUGCAUGUUUUAAUUGAUAAGUUCAAUCUCCGAUUACAUAAUGUAAGUCAAAUCUGGGAUAUUUAAAUAGACAAUUACUCUGAGAAAAUGAAUAGUUCAGUUUAGAUAUUCUGCAAAAAUGAGCAAAAUUGUAAUUCUCCUUCUGGCUACACUUCUUGUAGUGCAGUCACUUGCAUCACCUUACAUAUACGGAGAGGAUGGUGGUAGACAUAGAGAUGGCGACUACGGAAGAAAUGAAAACGUUCACAUUGGGGGUGAGAGGGGAAGACAGGGUUCGGCAUACGAUUCUUCAAAUCUAGGAAAUCGAGGCUUUCCUGGAAAUCAACAUAAUGUAUAUCCUAAUAACUUCCAAAGGGGACAACCAACAGGAAAUUAUCAACACGUUGGGGGAUAUCAGACUCAUGGAUAUUAGUAUCUUUAAGACGUAUAUUGGAUAAAUACAGCGAAUAUAUUUUUCUUGUAAUAAUAAAAAUAAUUGUUUAGCACUAAAGUAUUUAUAUUCAAUAACAAACUGAUUUUUAUAGCUGCAACUGAUUGUUUUUAAUACAUUCUCUGGGAUAACUGGACAGUCUGUAUAAUAUGGCGUGAGUACUUAUGUGUCAUUGGUUAUGAUUUCUAACAAAACUUCAUUAAAAUAAAUAAACGAGCAUUUGCAAUAAAAA
rnacentral:lncRNA from 1 species